rnacentral:rRNA from 1 species
CCUACGGGGGACAGCAGUGAGGAAUAUUGGUCAAUGGACGCAAGUCUGAACCAGCCAUGCCGCGUGCAGGAAGACGGCUCUAUGAGUUGUAAACUGCUUUUGUACGAGGGUAAACGCAGAUACGCGUAUCUGGCUGAAAGUAUCGUACGAAUAAGGAUCGGCUAACUCCGUGCCAGCAGCCGCGGUAAUACGGAGGAUUCGAGCGUUAUCCGGAUUUAUUGGGUUUAAAGGGUGCGUAGGCGGUCGGAUAAGUUAGAGGUGAAAUCCCGAGGCUCAACCUCGGAAUUGCCUCUGAUACUGUUCGGCUAGAGAGUAGUUGCGGUAGGCGGAAUGUAUGGUGUAGCGGUGAAAUGCUUAGAGAUCAUACAGAACACCGAUUGCGAAGGCAGCUUACCAAGCUACUUCUGACGUUGAGGCACGAAAGCGUGGGGAGCAAACAGGAUUAGAUACCCCUGUAGUC